rnacentral:lncRNA from 1 species
AAGAGAGGAGGGGGAUACCGGAGAGGGAGGGCCGAGGUCGGCUCCGAGACCCACCGGGAAGAAGGGGGAAGGGAUCGAGUCCGGAGAGGCUGCGGCGCGUGGCCUGAGGCGGAGAGCUGGACUCCGGGGGUCUGGGCCAGGACAGGCGCCGGUCUGACCCGCCUUGCUCGCAAAUGCAGGCCGGGCUUCCUCUUCCCUUGGCGGGUGGUGGGGGAGGGGAGGGGGCUUGAGGCCGGAGGGAAAGGUGGUCCCAAUCCUUCAGUUCCAGAGAGCUACAAAGCUGAUCCGGGCCUCGUUAAGGGACGUCUGGGUGCCCCCUUAAAGACCUGGGGUGCCACCACCACCACAACCCCAAGGCACACCGGGUCUGGCUCGGUGUACCGCAUUCCCCUUCUUCCCCUGGAGCAUCUGGCGGAGCUGGGGGAAAGGGUAAGGGGCUGACGAACGCUACGGUUCCCUGGGGACUCAGCAUCUGGAGCGGAGCAGGCAAAGGCUCAGCUAGAACCGGGAUCUGGGGCUGUUGUACUUGGAUAGCCGGAGUCAAUUUGGCCUAUCUGAAAACCCAGGCCUUGAGGCUGCUGCUGGAGGCGUCAAGUUGAGCAGGGCUGGAAAACGAAGCGGAGCGGGGCGUGCUGCCUUGUCCCUCCUCCCGGAGCCAAGGCGCCGGCCUGGGCGGAUCUGAUGGCGCGGUUACCGACUGAAGUGAAGCCCGGAACCUGAAGGGCUGGGAGGUCGGGGAGAAAGCAGAGCAGCACCGAAGGCCAGAAAUUAAAUUCACAGCCCGGGACCCCGACGACCCAAGGACUAGGGAAAAAGUCACUUCCCAUUCCAGCUCGAUCAAUCUUCCUUCCAUGCGAUUGAUUAAUAGAAAACGAAGUGAAAAGACCGUGGUCGCUGUGCGUCUGGGAAGGAAGCGAAGGGCAGAGUGGCCAUUGUUGAAGCAAUUAGCGAGAGACAAUAACCACCGAGAUGCGUUUAAUUCGAUUCCGUGCACGCUGCAAUCCCCGCCCGGGCUCUGCGAUAUGCAGGCCUGGGAUAACCCGGAGGGUCUGGUUGUGAAGCUGAAAUACAGAGAAGAGAGCAAAAUCAAACCGCGGUGGAAAACGAAGCAAGCAGCGGGGCCAUGCUGGCUGAGGCUUCCUGCUCCUCAACGGAGACACCUUUCCAAUUAAAACAGUAGACAUGGG